rnacentral:rRNA from 1 species
AGUGAACGCUGGCGGUAGGCCUAACACAUGCAAGUCGAACGGCAGCACAGUAAGAGCUUGCUCUUACGGGUGGCGAGUGGCGGACGGGUGAGGAAUACAUCGGAAUCUACUUUUUCGUGGGGGAUAACGUAGGGAAACUUACGCUAAUACCGCAUACGACCUACGGGUGAAAGCAGGGGAUCUUCGGACCUUGCGCGAUUGAAUGAGCCGAUGUCGGAUUAGCUAGUUGGCGGGGUAAAGGCCCACCAAGGCGACGAUCCGUAGCUGGUCUGAGAGGAUGAUCAGCCCCACUGGACCUGGGACCCGGUCCAGCCUCCUACGGGAGGCAGCAGUGGGGAAUUUUGGACAAUGGGCGCAAGCCUGCUCCAGCCAUCCCGCGUGGGUGAAGAAGGCCUUCGGGUUGUAAAGCCCUUUUGUUGGGAAAGAAAAGCAGCAGGUUAAUACCCCGCUGUUCUGACGGUACCCAAAGAAUAAGCACCGGCUAACUUCGU